AAGAUUGAGAAGAUAUAGCCAUGCCCAUUUAGAACAAGGCAGUUGUGCUGCGUGCACUUUGACCUUUCGGAUGGGUUCCCUCUGCUGCAUUCACCCUACUUUCUUUGAAGCAAAGAAGGAGAGGGGGAAAUACGAGAACGGCACGAUUUGUGCCAAGGACAGCUGCUGUUGGAGUGCAUCGCCUUUUUUUGGUUGUACAGUGUGCUACACUACAAGCGUGAGCGUAAGAAUGACUCUCGGCAAUGGAUAUCUCGGCUCUCGUGUCGAUGAAGAACGUAGCGAAAUGCGACACUUGGUGUGAAUUGCAGAAUCCCGUGAACCAUCGAGUCUCUGAAUGCAAGUUGCGCUUGAGACCUUUAGGUCGAGAGCACGUCUGCUUGGGCGUCAUGCCUUGCGUCAUUCUAAACAUCAACCUACCUUAAAUAAAAGUGUGGGUAACGGUGGAUGUGGAGAUUGGCCCUCCGUGCUCUUGAUGUGCGGUUGGUUUAAGAGACGGUCGUCGUUAGGAUUGCAUGCGGCGAAUGUUGAUCGAGUUCAUGCACGAAGUCUCCAGCUGCGUACAUGAGUCCUAACCAUGAUGUAUAAUAAUUGAAACCAUUAACAAUGUUUGCACUAUUCGCAAGCAUGGACC
rnacentral:misc_RNA from 1 species